rnacentral:misc_RNA from 1 species
GGCCUUCACUCUGGAGGUAGUUCUGUUCUCAUAUUUAAUAUUGGCAUCUGGGGCUCUUAGAAGAGUAUGACGGACUAAAGUGCUUUUGUUUCCAUUUACUUGAUUUGCAUUUCUGAGUACACUAAGUUGAAGGCACAAUACGUUUAGGGUAAAUCACUAGAACCAUGUUGAGGCUUGGCAUGGUAUACACUUUCAUCCCUGUUGUUUCAAAAUGAUUUACUUUGGUUGUUAAGGUUGGUUCCAGUCUGUAUACUUUGGCUCUUGAUGAUCAGUAGAAUCCCAUUGAGGCUUGGCAUGGUAUACACGGUCAUCUCUGUUGUUUCAUAAUGAUUUACUUUGGUUCUUAAGGUCUGUUCGAGUCUGUAUACUUCAG